GCAGAAAGUAGGGUUUUGGAGGUGUGUCAGAUCGCUCCCAGGGCUUCAUUGUUUCGGGAACAUAAACAUUCAGAGCAGCUGCAGCACUGAACCUUGCUAACCCGCCACUCCUGAGUUUCCUGAACAGGCAUGGACACACCCUCACGCACACACAUUCCCAUAGAUGUGAGUAAGGUCAGCAGGGCUAUUUUUGGCAGUCGUGGUUAAUCGCUCUGCUGCAGUGUGCCUCUAUAAAGCCUGGAUACACACUCCGGUCCAGUCAUACUCAACUGAGCAGACCAGACAUCACUCUGUUUCACUCUGCGUGUCAGACACAUUAACUGAAGAAUCAAAGCAUGAAACGCAGGCAGUUGUUGCUUUCUCUGCCUCACCUACCCACCAUUACUGAGACGCUGGAGGACUUGCCUGUCCAUCCAUCAUCCUCCCAGUCUACCCAGGGCUCCCAAUCUCUAGAGGAGUACAUGACCAGUAUCCAGGCCCUUGCCUGCCCUGUUGAGGCCCCGAGCUGCGGCCCCGUCAGACUCCAGAGGUCCCCCAGGCUACGGCAGCUCUCAAAGGCUCAGAUGAAGCUCUCUGUCUCAGCCUCGCUUCCUCGCGGCUCUCCCCGCGCACUAAGGACUUCCAGACCUUCCAGUCUGAGUCUUAACAGCACAGAGGAAUUUUCUCUCAAGAUGGGCAGAGAACGAGACAGCAAGGGCAAAGACCCCAUGGACUGGCUGUUUGGACAGAUAAGGACUUGAAGGGAGACGUUGUUGCCGUGUCCUGUCGGCACUUUGGUGGAAUAUCUCACAAUGAAACAAGGCUGGAAGAACCUGCUCUUUGUAUGAGGAUUAAAACAGAGCACCGUAUGAGGGGACUUACUACGAUGUCUGAGCAAAGACAAAAUCACCAUAUGUGAAGAUCUAUUUAUUUCUAUGCACUGAGGACUGAAGUCUACGUGUUUACAUUGUUUAAUAUUUUGUAAAGAUGUAAAGGAUAUAGUUUGUAAUAAAAUACUAAAAUAAUCAUGAA